rnacentral:rRNA from 1 species
AUUGAACGCUGGCGGCAUGCUUUACACAUGCAAGUCGAACGGUAACAGGCCGCAAGGUGCUGACGAGUGGCGAACGGGUGAGUAAUGCAUCGGAACGUGCCCAGUCGUGGGGGAUAACGCAGCGAAAGCUGUGCUAAUACCGCAUACGAUCUAUGGAUGAAAGCGGGGGACCGUAAGGCCUCGCGCGAUUGGAGCGGCCGAUGUCAGAUUAGGUAGUUGGUGGGGUAAAGGCCUACCAAGCCGACGAUCUGUAGCUGGUCUGAGAGGACGACCAGCCACACUGUGACUGAGACACGGCCCAGACUCCUACGGGAGGCAGCAGUGGGGAAUUUUGGACAAUGGGCGCAAGCCUGAUCCAGCAAUUCCGCGUGCAGGAAGAAGGCCUUCGGGUUGUAAACUGCUUUUGUACGGAACGAAACGGUCUGGGUUAAUACCCUGGGCUAAUGACGGUACCGUAAGAAUAAGCACCGGCUAACUACGUGCCAGCAGCCGCAGUAAAAC